GAUGGCGCCCGAAUGUUUCAGAAAAUAAUCGGCACGAGAAACACUUGUUAUUUUGCUCAUAACAGUUUUCCUUUACUAAAGUUGUUAUUAACAUGUUUAUAUAAUUCGUCCUUGAAAGAUGUGUUGGUAUGAGAAACCUUUGAAGAUUAUCUACCGAUUUAUAUGGCACUGUUAUUCAUCGUAGGAGUGGAAAAUUGAAAUUCCGAAAUUACCGAGAAAUUAAUACUCAUGUGAGCCAUGUCUAAAGGAUUUAGAAGAAAUGUAAAUGGUAUAAUAACUUAUGUGCAGCUGGAUAUCGUUGUAUUUAAUAUUUUGUGAAAUACUUAGGCAGAAAUCAGUCAAGAUUUCACUAUUUGAAACUAUAGCAGUAUGGCACCCUGUUUAUAAUAGUGAUAAAAAGCAUAAAAUGUGAGGGAUGUUGGUUUUUUUACAUUUUAAACACGCUAUAUUAAAAAAAAAUAUGAUGUACAUAAUUCAUAUUUCACAUCGUUCAGGUUGCUGUUCUUUAAAUGAAUUUUGAUUAGAGUUUCUGAAUGAGAUGCUGAAACAAUGUGAAAGUUGGGUAUUCUUUACUUUCAUGUGUUGUGAUGCAACAUCUCGGCACAUGGUGGUCAACUCUAAAAGGAAACACAGUUACCGGUGUGAGUAAAGUUUUAUGAUAUGUCUUGACCUCAUGUUUGCUGGCGAAUACAUGCAAUUUAGCCUCAUUUGCUCGCUCCCCAAGUCAUUAGUGUUGAUACAUGUAAUGUUGACCACCAUGUAUAACCCUAUGUAUAACACCUUGAUGUUACCAAUUGUUUACAUCAGAAGGUUACAUAUGUGCAGAACAGACUUACCGUCUGUUCAUCUCUAACCCAUUGAGUCGCAUUGUGCACUGAUGCGCCCUACUUUAUUAUUUUACUCUGUCUAACACCAGAUUAUUUUACUAUGUCUAAUGCUAUACAAUUUUACUCAUCAAGGGGAAACCUCUGGUACUUAGUGGGUUAACUGGCCUAUCUGCCCAUGAUGUGUCUAGUUAACCCAUGGAGUCACAUUGCACCCUACUUUAUUAUUUUCUGUCUAAUGCCAGAUGAUUUUAGUUGUCAAGGAGAGAGUUCUGGGUUAAUAUUUAAGUAGAAUUAGCCUCUUCCACAGGCAACUCUGUAUUGUUUUGUAUAAUAGGCAACUCUGUAUUGUUUUGUAAUAAUACAAAAUGCAUUUACAAUACAAAACAAAUAAGAGUUGAAAAUUUGUUAUACAAAACAAUACAGAGUUGCAGGCAGAAAUAGAAUAUGGAGGCAAAAAUAGAAUAUGGAGGCAAAAAUAGAAUAUGAUUUAUAACAGCAGAUAACAUUGAAUUGUAGAAAUCGAAGAAAAAUAUAACAUUCAAACAAUUGAUGUAAACAGUGUAUUUUUCAGUCUUCAAUAUAUCCACAUUUAUCAAAUGUUCAUAUUUUACCAUUAUUUGUCUGACACUCCGGGGCUUAACACUGAUACAUGUAGGAUAAUCUAUGCUGAAAAAACUGGAGGUAAACAGUUGGGGGCUGGAAAAAUUCUUCAGGAGGGCCUUUACAUGCAGC